GACCGAUGUGGUUGAUGGGAUAUCYACUGUCAAGUUUGUAUUCUUGCAGUGGGUKGGUGUCAAUGUCAAACCAAUGGCAAAGGGAAAGAUAAGYACACAUAGAUCAGCUAUUGACAAAGUGUUUAGUCCUGCUCAUGUCGUCAUCUACGUCACAAGUCAAAGUGAAAUCUYAUUGGAUGAUAUCAAAGAUAAGGUAGCCAGUGCUAGCGGYUCAAARUCUCACGUGAGAAAUAAAGAAACGCUUCGCUGAUUGGUUGUUACUGACCUAUAAGAACGCGACACGAUAGAUGGUUUAUAGGCAGUCCUGCUGACCAAAACGAUCGCAGUGAUC